UAACCUGCCUUGUAGCGGGGGAGUAACUAUUGGAAACGAUAGCUGAUACCGCAUAACAAUGGAUGACACAUGUCAUUUAUUUGAAAGGGGCAAUUGCUCCACUACAAGAUGGACCUGCGUUGUAUUAGCUAGUAGGUGAGGUAACGGCUCACCUAGGCGACGAUACAUAGCCGACCUGAGAGGGUGAUCGGCCACACUGGGACUAAGACACGGCCCAG
rnacentral:rRNA from 1 species